CUUCAUAACAGUUGGUGUGGGAUCUUUGUGUCGUACUUUGCUGCGUUUAAUUUGGGCGUUUGAAGUGGAUAAGAAUAAAACCAAUGGAUAAAUCAUGGAUGGAAGGUGACUAUUGAAGUCUUGUGGAGUUGAAAUGUUUUUCUAGUUUGCUGCAUCAGAGACAAACUAAAUGAUAAACUCACAAACAUCAGAGAGAACGAGAAGGCCUUUAGAGAUGAUUGGAGCUGUUCUGUUUAGUUGGAGGGAUGAAACCAGAAAAUUAAACUGAGGGGUGCUAAAUUUUAGGUUGCCAAAACAAGUGGGCGGUGGUGAAUGUGGCUACUAUGUCAUGAGAUACAUGAAGGAACUGAUUGAGGAUCCAAUGCUUUCUUUUGCACAUAAGUGGAGUAGGAAGUCGAAGAGAACUAGCUACUCUCAAGAGCAAAUUGAUGAGGUGCGGAUUGAAUGGAGUGAGUUUGUUACAAGGAAAUACUUGUAGAUGUUUAUGAUCAAGCGUGAUAUUUGUAGUGCUGCUUUUUAUGGAACAAGUAGUCUUUGUUGAUCGUAUGUUAAGUUGGACAGAAUUAUUUAAGUUUCAUUGUUUAAUAUGUAGUAGUACUUAAGUAGUUUACUUGUUGUAGAACAUGAUAUUUUAACUUUUGGUUUAUGAAAGAUAUAUUGCUUAAUAAUUUUUUGG